AGUGAAAAAGUUAAAAACAGUAAAGGUAAUUCCCAAAAAAAAAAAGAAUAAUUUUUGUAAAUAUUUUAAAAAAUUGGGUAAGUUCUAAAAAUACGAGGGAAGAAUAAUCGCUUUCUUUCAGCAAAAUCACUCUCAUUAGCCAUAAUUAUUUUCGUUGCAGCGAAAAUCAAAACAAAAGGAAAUACGUGCGCGCCGUCGUUUUACCCGGGCACAACGACGUCGUAUAAGUGUCAUAAACUUCCACCCUUAAACCCUAAUAAAGACCAGUGGAGGAACACAUUAAAAUAGCCUCUCUUCCGAGCCCGCCUCCAUGCGAAGAACUCCCGAUUGAGCUGAUGUUCAGAAACGAGACAGUAAGUUGGUUUCUUUCUAGCAGAAGAAAAUUUGUAGUGAUAAUAAAGCUUUUGCGGCAACAGUUGACAAAGUGAACAGACAAAAAUCAGUGUGGUCGUUCGCAAUCAAGAUCAUGAUGCACCGCUCUCAUUUCCCAUAUUUGAGCAUUCAGAAAUUUCUGGUUGGCUUAACGUUUGGGACUCUUGGAUUGGCCUUGGCGAUAAAAAAAAAAAAGGUAGAGUGAUUUGAUAGGCUGGUUUUGAACUUUUUGAUACAGUUGGGGCCAAUUAUAUGGCAAGGUGGAUAGCUAAUCUGCACCUGGAAUACACUCGCUGGAGUGGCUUUAAUUAUAGAUUAAAAGGGUUGACGAUUGCUUAAAAGAACUCUAGAUUUAGUCUAAGCAGCGUGUCCCUUUUCCAAUAUGAACAAUGAUUGAACACAGAAUAAUGCCGCCCCACUUGUAUAUCCUGAAUAUGCAUAAAAGUGGUUUAAUUAUGUCCUGUAAAUCUAAGGUUAUUCAGUGGCCACUACUUGCCCCUGUUAUUAUUCUUUAUCCCUGACCUCUAGACCAUUCUUUUCAUUUUUCUUUUGCCUGUAGUGUAAUUGCAAGAUAGUACUGCUCUUCAUUCUAUAAGAUUUAUAAGCUAAUUUGCUUGUGAUAAAA